rnacentral:rRNA from 1 species
UACGUAGGUCCCGAGCGUUGUCCGGAUUUAUUGGGCGUAAAGCGAGCGCAGGUGGUUUAUUAAGUCUGGUGUAAAAGGCAGUGGCUCAACCAUUGUAUGCAUUGGAAACUGUUCAACUUGAGUGCAGAAGGGGAGAGUGGAACUCCAUGUGUAGCGGUGGAAUGCGUAGAUAUAUGGAGGAACACCGGUGGCGAAAGCGGCUCUCUGGUCUGUAACUGACGCUGAGGCUCGAAAGCGUGGGUAGCGAACAGG